GAAUGGGAGGGCAACCUGUCUUUGAAUCUAUCACCCCAUUGGUUUCCAGGGCUGAUUCUGUUGAUCUAGCUGGCUAGGUAGCGUCUCCUUCCUUCCUCACCACUCGGUGAUCAUCCCUCCUAAAGCUGCUCACUUGGUCAAAGAGGACAACUUUCCCUGGAGAGGAGGACCCGUGCUCGGUCAAAGGCAUAUACCUAGCUGUGCUCUCUCCUUCUAGAACCUCCAAACAAUCUCUCAGUGAAAACAAACUCAGUGCAUGCCAGAUGUGUGAGAAGGGAUGACUAGAUUAAGACAGAGGACUUUGAGAGGAAUGAAAUUC
rnacentral:snRNA from 1 species